GACGAACGCUGGCGGCGUGCUUAACACAUGCAAGUCGAACGGAAAGGCCCUGCUUUUGUGGGGUGCUCGAGUGGCGAACGGGUGAGUAACACGUGAGUAACCUGCCCUUGACUUUGGGAUAACUUCAGGAAACUGGGGCUAAUACCGGAUAGGAGCUCCUGCUGCAUGGUGGGGGUUGGAAAGUUUCGGCGGUUGGGGAUGGACUCGCGGCUUAUCAGCUUGUUGGUGGGGUAGUGGCUUACCAAGGCUUUGACGGGUAGCCGGCCUGAGAGGGUGACCGGCCACCUUGGGGCUGCGGUACGGCCCAGACUCCUACGGGGGGCAGCAGUGGGGAAUAUUGCCCAAUGGGCGGAAGCCUGAUGCAGCAGCGCCGCGUGCGGGAUGACGGCCUUCGGGUUGUAAACCGCUUUCGCCUGUGACGAAGCGUGAGUGACGGUAAUGGGUAAAGAAGCACCGGCUAACUACGUG
rnacentral:rRNA from 1 species